rnacentral:rRNA from 1 species
UAAUCACCUGUUUUUUAAAUGAAGACCUGUAUGAAUGGCUCAACGAGGGCUUAACUGUCUCCCUCCUCCAGUCAAUGAAAUUGACCUCCCCGUGCAGAGGCGGGGAUAUUUACAUAAGACGAGAAGACCCUGUGGAGCUUUAGACCUAAAAUAAGUCACGUUAACAUUCUGUUACACCAGUAAAAACUCAGCGACGAUUAUUGAAGUGUCUUCGGUUGGGGCGACCCUGGGGAAAAACACAACCCCCAUGUGGACUGGGAAUACUAUUCCUAACACUCAGAGCCUCUACUCCAAGUAACAGAAAUUCUGACCUUUCUGAUCCGGUAAUAACCGAUCAACGAAUCAAGUUACCCCAGGGAUAACAGCGCAAUCCCCUCUAAGAGCCCU